UACGGAGGGUGCAAGCGUUAGUCGGAAUUACUGGGCGUAAAGGGUGCGUAGGCGGGGAUGUAAGUCAGUUGUGAAAAACCGAAGCUCAACUUCGGCACUGCAAGUGAUACUGCAUUUCUAGAGGGAUAGCGGAGAAAACGGAAUUCCACGUGUAGCGGUGAAAUGCGUAGAUAUGUGGAAGAACACCAAUGGCGAAGGCAGCUCGCUGGGACGGUACUGACGCUGAGACGCGAAAGCGUGGGGAGCAAACAGG
rnacentral:rRNA from 1 species